UGAUGAUGUAAUGAUGUGGUAUAACACCCCCUCCCCAAAGCAAUUAUUCCUUUCUAACUCUGAUGUUAAUCUCUUGUUUAUUGUUUUUGUUUUUCCAGGCUUGUAACAAUGAUCAGUACAUGGCGCUGCCCAGAGAGGACAUGACCAGGAUGCUUAGGCAGAGAGGCUUUAUUAAGGACCAAGACACUGAAAACACAGAGUUUACGUCUCAUCAGGAGGAAGAGGAGGAUCCUGGUGACUUUCUGACCUCUAGUGUGGCCUCUGAAGCCCCCAGACUGAUCUGAUGGACACUGUGGAUUUACCACCAUCAGAGGUUCUCUGCUGCAUCCAUGGAGAUUUUCUCCUGAACGCUCCUGAGACCACAAUCACUGACUGAAUCUUUCAGUAUUUGAUAUGGACAGGGGUUGUGUUUAGGCUAUGCCUAGCGAUUUCUGUUGCCAUGGCGACAGCAUUGCCUUAAUUGUGCUGAAAGCUAUACCCACACAGAAAUAUACACACAUUAUGGUAUAACAUGCAUACAUUGAGUGUGUGUUUGUCUACCUGAAUGAGUAGAAUGUAAAUGAAUUCACCUUGUUUUCAGUUAACAUGUUGAAAUGUAUUGCAGACUUAAACAUGUACAUUUUGGGGGAAAUUUUCCUCUUCUCACCUUUUUGGUAAGAUAUAAGUCAGCGAAAACUCCUAGGUGUUAAAAAAAAAAUUAACCCUCCGGUUAAUUUCCAAUUGUCUAACAUUUUUUAAUCAGUUGUGGUCAGUUUAAUCCCAAAAAUGUAAACCUCCAAAACAUGAUUUUAAUAAAAAGUGUUAACCAAGUUUAUGCAUCAGGUAUUUUAUGUGUCUUCUUGACUACCUAAAUAGCCCUUUAAAUAAAACAGCAACA
rnacentral:lncRNA from 1 species